UCGAUUUGAUGAAAACCUGACAUUAAAU
rnacentral:piRNA from 2 species